CACCUGUGCUGGGCUGACCCCAGCUCCCACUUCAUUACCUGUGGGAUACUACGGCUUAUAGAAGAUGUUACAGUUUCUUUAAAGAUCCUGAAGGUCCUUAUGAAAAGGAAAAUGUGCUGAGGAAAGCCCAGUCUGAGGCUACAGCUGUUAUUUUGUUAGAAGAAAUAGAGUCUCCAAAGAGAAACCAAAUACAGCUAGUUGUUAUACAGAAGCAAAGCAAACCCUGCCAUGGCAGUCCUCCUACAAUCAACUCCGUUUUUAGGAAUAUUGGUUUUUCUCCCUGAUGAUACUCUAUAAGCAUCGCAUGCAAGUCUUGCUCUUCACAGGAGCUGGAAAUGCCUUAUGAGCCAGCAGUUCUAAUGAACAGUGUCCAACUGGGAGCCUCAGACAGUGCAUUAUUUGUCUAUGAAGUUCAUCUUCGUAAGAGAAAUACCCUUAAACUUAGAUAAAAAUCUGUUCUUCAACUUUUUUUCCUCUUGACUGGUGACUUGCUUUCUUUUAUACAAAACCACAG
rnacentral:lncRNA from 1 species